rnacentral:misc_RNA from 1 species
GCCCGAGGUUGUUAUCGCAGGAAAAUUUUGACGGUAAUACUCCGUUGCACAUUGCAGCUAGUCACGGGUAUACCCAUGUAGCGGAAGAACUAAUCAGGUUGGCAGAGGCCUUACAUGAUGCAUUAGAUANNNNNNNNNNUGGCAAUAAAUAUCUUACAGAAUGAAGUAGAGGCAGCAGAGAGGGCAAACAGAGUAGUGAG